GAGUUUGAUCAUGGCUCAGAUUGAACGCUGGCGGCAUGCCUUACACAUGCAAGUCGAACGGCAGCACGGGAGCUUGCUCCUGGGUGGCGAGUGGCGAACGGGUGAGUAAUGCAUCGGAACGUAUCCUGGAGUGGGGGAUAACGUAGCGAAAGUUACGCUAAUACCGCAUAUUCUGUGAGCAGGAAAGCGGGGGACCUUCGGGCCUCGCGCUCUUGGAGCGGCCGAUGUCGGAUUAGCUAGUUGGUGAGGUAAAGGCUCACCAAGGCGACGAUCCGUAGCAGGUCUGAGAGGAUGAUCUGCCACACUGGAACUGAGACACGGUCCAGACUCCUACGGGAGGCAGCAGUGGGGAAUUUUGGACAAUGGGGGCAACCCUGAUCCAGCCAUGCCGCGUGAGUGAAGAAGGCC
rnacentral:rRNA from 8 species